GCAAUUCAUAUGUGCAACCGGAAAGGGUGGAGCCUGGCUGCCCCUCUCUUAGACCUCAUUUAAGGGCUGACUGCCCCUGAGGAAGGAUUUUUUUCUGGAGAUUUUCCUUGUGAAGAUUUUCCUUGUGAAUGCAGAACCUUCUGGUUUGGAUACUCCUGACCACACCAAGAAUGUUUCUCUGCAGAAUCAGAUUCAGUGAUUUGCAUUAGGAACUGAUGAACGUGAAGCUGAGGUUGUCCCCAGGAAUCUGGAAGAGAAACUGAAUUUGCUUCAGUGGAAAGUGAGCCAGCGUGGUGGUUUUUAUAUCCCUAAGUUAGUACUGAAGAGAAGAGGAAAACUUAGGAAGUAAUUUCACAGUCAAGCAUCAGUAUGCUGCUGGAACAUCAGUGGAGUGAGACACAGGUAUCUGUCUGCCUCAGCAAGAGGGCAUCAACAAAUUGGAGUGGGGCAGAGAAGAAAGCUGCUCCUCGGUGAUGCAAGAAGAAGUUGUGUCUAACCCAUGGCUUGAACACUAGGCAAAGACUCCACAGGUCUUUCCUCUCAUCCAUGAAGCAACAGUAACCUGUAAAACAGUGCAUCUUUUUAGUGAAUAGUGGAGUGAUGAUGUGUUACAUUGCCAAGGCACUAAACAGAAGGAAGGCAGUAACUUUGAAAGAAAGCACCAUACCUUAAGGAUCUCACCAUCAAAAUUCACAUUCUUCAGUCCAUGUAUUGGAGCUUCCACAAUAACUGUUUUUCCAUUUUUAUAAAUUUUAAUAUUGUCUGUAAAAAGUAAUGGAGAAAAUGAGUAGCACAAAGUACAUCAUUUUCCUUCACAAUUACCAUUGUUCUGCUGCAGUCAGAAGGUUUGGAAUUGUUGAUGUUUUGCUUUGUUUUGUUUUGUGGAGAGAUCAAAAAGAGAAGAAACAUUCAAUUCAUUUGUGAAAACAUUCUACUGUGGUCUCUUGUAGUUGGAACUUACUUUUGUAUCCAGUCUAUUAAGUCUUGAAAUGAAAAUGAUAUUGGUGGUUCUCCAGAUAAAUAACUGGCCUGAAGCAUGUUAACUGUGACUGUAACAAGUACACUUUUUGUAAACGAGAACCAGUCUUGGACAGAAACCAUUUCUUAUAUGUAUACUGCUUUACCUCUUAGUUAUACCAAGGAAAAGUAAGUGUGUAUCUGCUAUGGGAAAAACAGAAUUAUUAAGCAAUACAAAUAUUGAGAUGAUCUCUAGUUUUUCUUUGAAUUAAUCCCAUUUGUGUUUUCUUAACAGUGUGAUGUUUCUGUGAAGCAUAUAAAAAACAGACUUGAAGACACUUGGUUUCUGAAUCAGUCCUAGAAAUGUGGGUAUGAAAGCUCACCUUUUUCAUACUCAGAAACUCCACUGUCUGAUAGUACUGAUUCUUUAUUGCAUGUCACGAGCAGAGAUGAAUCUGCUGCAGGACAGAUUGUGAUGUUCCUAUAAGAAAAAAAAAGGAAAAAAAAAAAAGAAUAAACUAGUGGUUAAUUUGAAAUCUAGGGUAGAGAUAUUUGUGAGCAAAGCUAGCAGAGAGCUAAUUUGAACAUUUGGACUGUGAAUGAGUGACUGAGCUGCUUUCAUUUCAAAAUGCAAAAUUUAUUGGACCUUUGGAUGCUGAAAUUCAACCUCUGAAGAAAAGGUUCUGUGGGAACUUACGGAGCAGGUUAUAAGAUCCUGACUGCAUCACUGAAUAUGAGGAAAAUGAAACCAAUGACUGUCUGAUGAGGAUUCUGUAAAUCCUCAAAUAUACAACUAUAAACUAGUUGCACCCAAACUAGACAUCUCCCUUCCCAGACUAACUCCUUGAAGUUUUUGUAUCUAAUUAUUGAGCCUUCAGAAUAAAUCACACUUACGCUGAACUUGUAUUUAUGUGAACCUCUCUUGACAAAGACUGGUGAUCAACUUUUCUUGUAGUAAUGAUGAAUUUUGGAUGUUCGGUACAAUCUUGGGCCACUACCACAUUGCAGCUUUUAUUGAAAGAACAGGUAAAGCUCAUGCGAUCAAAUGUUUUGAAAUCUCCCUUACUGACUUCACAUGUGGCUGCAAAACAAAACCAGAAAAGAAAUGGCAGAUGGGACAAUGGCAUGGUGUGUUGCUGCAAAGUACUGAAGGCUGCCUCUGUGAGAUUGGACUAUACAGCAAAUAGAAAAAGAACUUCAACAUCUCCUUGUCAGAAUCUUUCGGUGCUGCCAGUCUGUAAGAAUAGGAUAUCACUACAGAAUUGCUAAUAGUUGUAGACUAUAUUAGUAGUGAUUUUGAUGACAUGCCUCAAACCUCAAGACAGUAUAGUGACUAAAACUUACUAAUGUCUUCAAAAACUAAAAGUAGUAACCGUUAUAGAAACUAAUUCACAUUUGCCACGGAAGUGUUAGAUACCAAUAACUUAAUACUCACAUGAUUUUUUUUUUAAUAAAAUAAUAAACAUGGCAAAAAAUCAAUUAUUUAUCUUACACCCAUCAGAUAAUGCCUCUCAACACAGAGAUGGCACCUUCUUAGAAGGGGCAAAAGAGGACCUCUACAGCUUGCAGAUAGGAAUGAUUCCUGAACUCUGAAGAUUUACAUCAGUUUGAAGUCUCUUCAUCCACCUGCUAGUAAAUGUACUUCUAAGUGAUAAAAUGAACUGCUGAAAAAGCAGAGUUGGAGACACUAAGCUUCCCUCUAGAAGACCAAUAUGGGGAAAGACAAGUCCCAGUUGUCUCAGAGGAUGGAUAUACAAACAUUGCUUCCUCAUGAGACAAUCAUAUAAGUAGUACUUACAUUGAUCUUCUUGUGCUAUUUGUGAAGCUAUUUCAGGAAGGAAAUUCCAGGCAGUGAUAUCUCUAGUCUCAUAUGAUGAAGAUGAUGGCCCUAAGGGCAAAGUGAAUGGCACUCGGAGUCCCUGAUAGUAAAGUGUUACCUGAAAAAGUAGAAAUGAAAAAAAAAACAUUAAGAUAUAUUGAGCCAUAUUGCUUGUGAUAUCACUGCAAAGAGACAAACAAAAAAGACAUCCUGGAAAAAUAUCUUGAAGAUACACAAUCGCAGUUGUGUUAGUUUCUCUAGGAUAUGCCCAAAUCUCAGGUUGUUCUUAGCAAUCACUCUCUCUUCUGGUCUCAGUUUCUGACUUUUAUGAGAAAUUGUUAAGAACAUUAGAAAGUAACCUAUGUAGAUGAAGUUUAAAUGAUAAUUAUGUGACUUUUGAAAAAAGUGAUUUAAAAAUUAAAGUAACUAAUCUGAUGGAUGUGUUUGGCAAAGAGAACAGUGUCUAUUAAGGGCUGAAAAAUGGCAUGAUGUGCCAUGGUGGUAAGAUUUCUUACUUUUCUACAUACAAAAGACAUUUACCAAGACCAUCAACUUAAUGACUAAUGUUUCUACUUCUUCAUUAUCAUGUAAUAAAGAUCCUGCAAUUCUGAAGCAUAACGGAAGGUUAAAGACACACUAAUUUCUCUGUUUAUGAAUAGCGAGCUGUUAUUAAUUUGCCACAGAUCCAUAGGGGAAAACUUUCAAAGCAGUGCACAGGGAUUUGGUGGACAAGGACCAAUUAAUCAGUGGGAUUCUGCAGAUCCAGCCUGUGCAAGCUGCUCUGAGAGUGUAACUAACUGCUUCAGUUUAGUUAAAGCUGAGUUAAAGCCACAGAAUUAUCUGUGGCUGUCGUAACUUGCUCAGAUCUGUCUUACAGAGUGU